rnacentral:rRNA from 1 species
UGGUUAAAAAGCUCGUAGUUGGAUCUCGGCGGACUGAGGGCGGUUUGCUUGCUAGUAUUACUGCCCUAUAGUCCGUAGUUUUGCCAGAGGUUUCGGGGUGCUCUUAAUCGAGUGUCCCGGGAUGCUGGCAGGUUUACUUUGAAAAAAUUAGAGUGCUCAAAGCAGGCUAUUACGCCUGAAUAUUCGUGCAUGGAAUAAUAGAAUAGGAAGUCGUUUCUAUUUUGUUGGUUUUCGGAAAUCGACUUAAUGAUUAAUAGGGACAGUCGGGGGCAUUUGUAUUCAAACGACAGAGGUGAAAUUCUUGGACCGUUUGAAGACAAACUACUGCGAAAGCAUUUGCCAAGAAUGUUUUCAUUAAUCAAGAACGAAAGUUAAAGGUUCGAAGGCGAUUAGAUACCGCCCUAGUUUUAACCAUAAACGAUGCCAGCUAGCGAUCUGCGGACGUUUUUUUUGUAGACUCCGCAGGAAGCUUCCGGGAAACCAAAGCAUUUGGGUUCCAGGGGAAGUAUGGUUGCAAAGCUGAAACUUAAAGGAAUUGACGGAAGGGCACCACCAGGAGUGGAGCCUGUGGCUUAAUUUGACUCAACACGGGAAAUCUCACCAGGCCCGGACCCUGG